AGCGACGGCAUGUGGCUGGGGGAGAAGGGCACACACGGGAAUUUCAGUGGACAAGAACAUGCUGCUAACAAUGGAAAGUGAGCUGAUGAUUUUCCCAGGCACUUGUCCCCAAGGGCAGGUGGCAGGACAUCCCAGGAGGAAGAGGAGGACAUGGCAGUGCUGGGAGUGAUCGCCUCCCAGAGCAGCAGAGCUGAAGGGCAAACAGGAGACUAAAACAUGAAGUGCGUGUGCUCAUCUGGGCUUUUUUAAGCACCUUUGCUUCUGCUCAUGAAGAGGUUUAAUUUUAUUCCCCCCCUCUCCCCUGGGAGCGUUUUCUCCUUGCUCAGAAGGAGUAGAGACACUAAUGGGUGGUUGUCCUUAUGAGCCCUGCUGCAGAACUGUCCGUCUCGGCCAAGAGAGUGAUUUGACAGCUCCCCAGGGCUUCUGUUUCCCUCAGGUUUGGUACCUCCUUAAUUAAAAACUCACUAGAUAUCAAAUUGAUUUUUUGCUUCAGUUUGGUUUGGCUGCCUUUGGGAAGGGGGAAGGGGAAUCAACCUCUCCUUCACUUGCUAGCAGGAAUAUUUACCUAUGGACACAGCCUAAUCUGAUUUUUGAGCAAACAGAUCAAUAUUUGCUUUUCACCACAUCGAAACCCACUGUUAGCAUUCCUGGUACUGAAAUUAAUAAAUAUUGAUGUUAGAGGCCAUCAUAUUGGCUGGUAUACAGGGUUAUACUCUGCUUCAGUUCAGCAGAGUUGAUUUAUACCAGCACAGAAUUUGUCCUCUUUAUUUUAUUUUUUUUUCAUACCUGUAACAAAUUUUGUUUCCAAAUUGAAGUUACAGAGAAGACUGAAUAGACAUGAUGAACAGGAAAUUAACUGCACAAAUCCAGCAAUCAGCACGGGCACCUGGAGGGGCGGAGGUUGUUAAGUUCAUCUCAGGGAGAGGAGAGCUGGUGCGGGCUGGGUUGCUGCUCCCCUUCCUGAACCUACAUAUCUCGAGUUUCUCAAAUCACAAGAUUAUUUACAUGUCCUUAAAUAUUUUCCUUCUUGCUAGGAGCACAAUGCAUCGUUCCUUUUGUGUUUGUCAUGAGGAAACACACAGCAUUACACAGCCUACAGUCUGCAUAGACAAGGUAAUCUCCUGCCGUUGA
rnacentral:lncRNA from 1 species